rnacentral:rRNA from 1 species
GAUGAACGCUGGCGGCGUGCCUAAUACAUGCAAGUCGAGCGAAGCGGGGGCGGGGGAGUAACAGGUGGAUAACCUCCUAUAAGCUUGCGUUAAAUUAGGGAAACCGGUGCUAAACCGGAUAUUCAUGGAUGGAUCCGCGCUGCAUUAGCUAGUGGUUAAGGUAACGGCUUAGCAAGGCAACGAUGCAUAGCCGACCUGAGAGGGUGAUCGGCCACACUGGGACUGAGAAGCGGCCCAGACUCCUACGUGAGGCAGCAGGAGGGAAUCUUCCGCAAUGGGCGAAAGCCUGACGGAGCAACGCCGCGUGAGGGAUGAAGGUCUUCGGAUCGUAAAACUCUGUUAUUAGGGAAGCGGUACCUAAUCAGAAAGCCACGGCUAACUACGUGCCAGCAGCCGCGGUAAUUC